UACGUAGGGUGCAAGCGUUGUCCGGAAUUAUUGGGCGUAAAGAGCUCGUAGGCGGUUUGUCGCGUCGGCUGUGAAAACUCGGGGCUCAACCCCGAGCCUGCAGUCGAUACGGGCAGACUAGAGUGCUGUAGGGGAGACUGGAAUUCCUGGUGUAGCGGUGAAAUGCGCAGAUAUCAGGAGGAACACCGGUGGCGAAGGCGGUUACCUGGAGCUUUGCUGACGCUGAUGCGCGAAAGCGUGGGGAGCAAACAGG
rnacentral:rRNA from 1 species